rnacentral:rRNA from 1 species
AACGUAGGACACAAGCGUUAUCCGGAGUUACUGGGCGUAAAGGGCGUGUAGGCGGAUCGGUAAGUCUACUCUGAAAGCUCCUGGCUAAACUGGGAGAGGCGAGUGGAGACUGUCGGUCUAGAGUGAGGAAGAGGAAAGUGGAAUUCCGCGUGUAGUGGUGAAAUGCGCAGAUAUCGGGAGGAACACCUAUGGCGAAGGCAGCUCGCUGGGACGUUACUGACGCUGAGA